CCCUGAAGCUCGACGUCCUUUCUGCAAUUGCUUGAUUGAUAUAUGUCGAAACCAAAAUCUUCGCGAGAGAGCUCAUGAAUUGCUCUACUUGGGAAGUUUAUAUGGAUUGUACCCAGGCCUACACAACAAAACUGAGACCGAAUGGUGCCUGGAUGUUCGAUCUCUGUCAGUAGGUGCAGCUCAAACUGCACUUGAAGAAUGGAUGAUAACUCUAUCAAAAAUCGUACAACGAGAAGAAGCAUUACCUGAAUUGUUAUCAGCUCAAACCGGAGCAGGAACUCACAGGUUUUCUCAAGGACUAGCCAAUUCAUUUGCUUCUCAUGUAGACAAACUUGCUGCUCCAUUUCAACUGCGAGAAGAUCGAGCUGGUUGGUUUGUAGCCACAAGGGAGGAU
rnacentral:lncRNA from 1 species